rnacentral:rRNA from 1 species
AACGCNGGCGGCGUGCNUAAUACAUGCAAGUCGAGNGANNCCGAUUAAGAGCUUGCUCUUAAGAAGUUAGCGGCGGACGGGUGAGUAACACGUAGGUAACCUGCCUAUAAGACUGGGAUAACUCCGGGAAACCGGGGCUAAUACCGGAUAACAUUUUGCACCGCAUGGUGCGAAAUUGAAAGGCGGCUUCGGCUGUCACUUAUAGAUGGACCUGCGGCGCAUUAGCUAGUUGGUGAGGUAACGGCUCACCAAGGCGACGAUGCGUAGCCGACCUGAGAGGGUGAUCGGCCACACUGGGACUGAGACACGGCCCAGACUCCUACGGGAGGCAGCAGUAGGGAAUCUUCCGCAAUGGACGAAAGUCUGACGGAGCAACGCCGCGUGAGCGAUGAAGGCCUUCGGGUCGUAAAGCUCUGUUGUUAGGGAAGAACAAGUGCUAGUUGAAUAAGCUGGCACCUUGACGGUACCUAACCAGAAAGCCNCGGCUAACUAC